rnacentral:misc_RNA from 1 species
UUUCUCUCUUGAGUUUAGCCAUAUUAAGUACACGCUGUGCUGCACCAGAAGAAUCACGCAACCUUAACUCACCAAAAUCUGAACUAUCAAAAUGUUCAGGGCCAUGGCUUGGGGACCCAUCUAAGUGAUAAUGGCGCUGGCUUGGCCACUCAGAAAAGCCUAUAUUCCACCGAGAAGCAACCAUCUGAGUAUCAUUAGGAAAGAUAAAUGCCCCAGGCUUCCUUGACUUGCUCCUGUAAGGUUUCUGUACGUGAUUCCUAUCAUACCUAUCACCACUCAUUAAGAAAUGUCCUUUGCCGCCUACAUCCCAAUGUGAAAAUACACUUGGUGACAUUUGAGGCAAUGGAGAAUCAUCUAAAGGUUCAUAGUUAUGACCUUGAUAGACAACCCUUUCAUCCCCAGAACCAAAUCCAUUUAAUCUUCUUCCUUUACCAUAAGCAUGGAAAACAUCAUGAUCUCC